AAAAAUUGAUCGGCCCAAAUGAAGAUAAAUUUUUUGAUAGAAUUGCACGUGCACCUAUGGCAAUAAAUGCGUGAUAAUUUUUCGGUUUAUUUAACACGUGAAUAAUAAUUCAGCCCAAAGGAAGAUUUAUUAUUCGACAUAUUCUUAUUAUCAACAUUUGAUUACUGCACCAAGAUAUCGCUUACAAAUUAAUAUAUUUUUCCAAAGAUAAAAUAUUAACGGAAUACACGAUAUCUUGAUAUGAGAAUUACCUGUUUUUGAAUUUAAUUUUAGUUCAAGAUUUAUGUGAACUUGUUUUAAUUUUUAUGAUUGUUUGUUAUUCUCUGUUCAGCAGCUAUGACUCCUACUAAUAUUACAUCCAACAUCAAAUUUAUUCCUAUGCUAAUGGCUCGAACUUUAAGUCAUGGAAAGAGAACCUUUUAAUUGCUCUCGGAGUCAUGGAUCUCAACCUUGCGUUAAGGGUUGAUUCUUCCCCACCUAUUACGUACAAAACUACAUCUGAUGAGAAAAGGGACUUUGAAAGGAAGAAGAAAAACUUAAGCAAGAUAAGGCAGAGUGUGCUCACCUAGCCUAGACCUUCAAAGAAAAAGGGAAGAAGAGGAAGAAGGAUGAGACUGCUGCAGAUACAACACCUCAAAAGAAAUAACAAAAAAAUGUACGGAACAAGAAGGUACAAAUUAUUUCUUCUGUGAAGCUGACGGGCAUAGGAAGAAGCAAUGCAUCAACUAUCUCGCCUGGCGUGCUAAGAAAGAUUCUAGUGCAUGCACUUACAUCAGUGUGUCUAUGCGGGGUUGCCUGAAUUGCUGAAAGCCAAAUGAUGCUGAAAGAUACAUCUAUGUGGGCGAUGGCAAAACAGUGCAAGUUGAGGCAAUAGGACUAUUUAGAUUAUUGUUAAAAACUAGAUUUUAUUUGGAUCUUGUUGAAACAUUUAUUGUACCAUCUUUUAGACGAAACUUGAUUUCUAUUUCUACUUUGGACAAGUCUGGUUAUUGUUGUUCAUUUGGGAAUGGAAAAUUUAGUUUGUUUCAUGAUUCAAAA